GCGUACCUAUUGUUUCCUCGGCGGGCUUGCUCGCCGGUUGGACAAAACUAUAACCUUUUUUAAAUCUUCAAUCAGCGUCUGAAUUAUACAUAAUAAUUACAACUUUCAACAACGGAUCUCUUGGUUCUGGCAUCGAUGAAGAACGCAGCGAAAUGCGAUAAGUAGUGUGAAUUGCAGAAUUCAGUGAAUCAUCGAAUCUUUGAACGCACAUUGCGCCCCUUGGUAUUCCAUGGGGCAUGCCUGUUCGAGCGUCAUUUGUACCCUCAAGCUUUGCUUGGUGUUGGGCGUCUUGUCUUGUAUUAGACUCGCCUUAAAGUCAUUGGCAGCCAGUGUUUUUGGUAGUAAGCGCAGCACAUUUUGCGUCUUAGUCCUUGAAUCGUGGCAUCCAUGAAGCCUUUUUUCACUUUUGACCUCGGAUCAGGUAGGGAUACCCGCUGAACUUAAGC
rnacentral:rRNA from 1 species